AACGUAAAAAAAAAAAGAGAAAAACUGGAAAAAAUGAACCGGAGGAGCCUGCCGAAGAUGAGGCCAUUACGGCUCGCCUUUAGGUGUCCUCCUCGGGAUAGCGUCAUUUAAAGAACGAGGGUCAGCAUAACGUAAAA